GACGAACGCUGGCGGCGUGCUUAACACAUGCAAGUCGAACGGAAAGGCCCUGCUUUUGUGGGGUGCUCGAGUGGCGAACGGGUGAGUAACACGUGAGUAACCUGCCCUUGACUUUGGGAUAACUUCAGGAAACUGGGGCUAAUACCGGAUAGGAGCUCCUGCUGCAUGGUGGGGGUUGGAAAGUUUCGGCGGUUGGGGAUGGACUCGCGGCUUAUCAGCUUGUUGGUGGGGUAGUGGCUUACCAAGGCUUUGACGGGUAGCCGGCCUGAGAGGGUGACCGGCAACAUUGGGACGGAGAUACGGCCCAGACUCAUACGGGAGGAAGCAGUGGGGAAUAUUGCAAAAUGGGCGGAAGCCUGAUGCAGCAACGCCGCGUGCGGGAUGACGGCCUUCGGGUUGUAAACAGCUUUCGCCUGUGACGAAGCGUGAGUGACGGUAAUGGGUAAAGAAGCACCGGCUAACUACGU
rnacentral:rRNA from 1 species